ensembl:lncRNA
GUGCAGUCGGCUGUGCCCCUCAUAUGUCAGGCAUGACCAUGGGUGUCAGGUGUGACCAAGGGAAUUAGGCAUGACCAUGCAUGUCAAGUGUGACAAAGGGAGUCAGGCGUGACUAUGCGUGUCAGGCAUGACCACACGUGUCAGGCAUGAACAUGCAUGGCAGGUGUGAUCAAGGGAAUCAGGCAUGACCAUGCAUGUCAGGCAAGACCAUGCGUGUCAGACACAACCAUGUGUGUCAGGCAUGACCAUGUGUGUCAGGCAUGACCAUGAGUGUCAGAUGUGACCAUGGGUGUCCAGCAUGGUCAUGCAUGUCAUGUAUGAACACGGGUGUCUGGCUGUGCUCAGCUGUCCCCAUCUCAUGGGGUGCACUUCCCCAGACCCCAGGCUCCCAGAGCCAGGACAGGUGUCUUUCCUGCACCACGAGGCACAGCCCUUGUGACGUCACACAGGCACAGCCCGUCCCUGGGAAACUGUGAAUUCUCUCCUGCUGGCACCUGAGCGCCAUGAGACCUGGGCUGGCUUGUGGGACAGAAGAAACCCGAUCCUGAACACGGAGCCUCAGACUCCUUCCUGAAACGUUGACAGCACUAAGCCCAUGGGUGAGAUGAAACUUUAUUCCAAAGGAGAGCCGCACAUCUGAGAAAAACCUGAAUAAAUCCCCAGCUGUGUUCACCAGGGCUCUCAGUGCCCACCUCGGCAUUCUGUGUCACUGUCUCAGUGCCUACCUGGGGCAUUCUGUGUCACUGCC